AUAGUAAGAAAUCAAUCGCAGAAUAGAGAACGUCGUACUUUUUCAUCCAUAGAAGUUUAAGAAUUUCGAGUUAAAAAGUUUCAGUGUCGCGCUGAUGAAUUGAGCUUUUUAUAACGCUUGGAUUUAAAGAAUCUAUUACGCGUAAAAAACGUCAUUUAAUCUUCAUUCCUGUUUGCUAUCAUUGGAAGAAAAUGUUAUUUUUCUUUCUUUAUAUAUUUUGUGACGAACUCUUCAUUCGUUCCAAGCCAUAAGACGAGUGGAUACAUUGCAUUAUAUUAUGUUGUACGUGUUAAGGAAGGCUACGACACCCUCAUUUGUAAUUGUUGUUUAAUGAUUAAUAUGAUUGUUGUAUAUAAUUAUGAAGAUUUCUCUCUUUAAUGGACAGUAUUUUGGAAUUGUGAUAAGGAAUGAAGUAGACACAAAAGAAGAUAAUGUGUUUUCUACCCUUUGCUAUCUACAACUAUUAUUGAUUGACGUUUUUAAGCAUAUUUAUUAAUUGUAAAACGAAGAUAUUAAAAAAAAAUAGGGUAAGUGUGGUUCCGACCGGGAUCGAACCGGCGACCUUCUGCGUGUAAAGCAGAUGUGAUAACCGCUACACUACGGAACCCGCUGGUACCAGUUUUUCGUUAACAUGUAUCUGUUCCACCAUUAUUUUACCAAUAUAUUUAUAUUAUAUUGUACAAGAUCUUUACUUACAAAUAACAUCUAAUAUAAAAAUUAUACAACAUUAGAAAUUAUAACAAUCAACUAAGGAAUUUUUAAUUCAAAAUUACUUACCCCAGUCACCACUAGAUGGCAGUACAUCACUGAUAAAAGAUAUAUUUCUAUAAUUGUAACGCCAUGGGAUUGACUAAGUAUAGAAUAGACCUGAUAUUAAAUGGGACUUCAUGUCUCACAUUUUGAACUAUCGAUCUCGAAAAGAAUCACAUAUCCUGAAACGAUCAAUAUUUUAUUGUGAAUAUUAUUGUCAAUGUUUAAGAUUCUCAACAUUAUUAUAUAUAUUAAGAGGCCAUCUAAAGUCUGGACGAUCAAUAUAUAUUGUCAAUAGAAUGUUGAGAACCUUAAAUAUUGACAAUAAUGUUGAUCGUCUGAACGCUCUUAUAGGUCCUUUGCGAUUUGCUACAGAGAAUAUAGGAAUUAUCGCAUGACAUUCUGUAAUACCGACCGUUCAAAACUAUGCACUAUAAAAUAAUUAAAAUCUUAGUAAAAACAUUGAAUAAAUUAAAAGAAUGGAUAUCAUAUUAUUUUUACUAAAUUUUUAACACAAAAAGCAAAAUUGAAAUUUAUUCUAUAAGAGAAAAAUAUAAAUUAUGUAUUGAUUAAAUUACAUAGAAUUUAAUGACAGAUAAGGACUAUAAGAAAAGAUACUAGGGACAUGGUUAAUUAUAGAUUUUUAUUACUUGUAUAAAUGGUAUAAAGUCGAAUACAAUUAACAAAAUGAUGUUCCGGAUGGCGGAGCUGAUACAUUUUGCAAUAAACAUAGUUCCAUUUUUUUAUUUGUCUUAUUAAUUAAUAGAAAACUCAGUAUACAUAUCAGAAAAUAUUUUCCUGUCAAACGAAUCAAUCUGAAUAUUAUAUACGGCGGGCACCACGCUCCUAUUGCAUCCGGGUUUGUACUUAAAAAUAAAUACUACUA